GACGAACGCUGGCGGCGUGCCUAAUACAUGCAAGUCGAACGCUGGAGGAGGAGCUUGCUUCUCUGGAUGAUUUGCGCACGGGUGAGUAACGCGUAUGUAACCUGCCUGGUAGCGGCGGAUAACUAUUGGAAACGAUAGCUAAUACCGCAUAAUAUUAUAUGUUGCAUGACAUUUACUUAAAAGAUGCAAUUGCAUCACUACCAGUUGGACCUGCGUCGUAUUAGCUAGUUGGUGGGGUAACGGCUCAACAAGGCGACGAUACAUCGCCGGCCUGAGAGGGGGGACGGCCAAACUGGGACUGGGACAAGGCCCAGACUCCUACGGGAGGCAGCAGGAGGGAAACCUCGGGAAAAGACGAAAGGCUGAACGAGGAACGGCGCGGGAGGGGAGGAGGGUUUCGGAUCGUAAAGAUCUGGUGUAAGAGAAGAACGAGUGGGAGAGGGGAAAGUGCACACUGUGACGGUAUCUAAUCAGAAAGGGACGGCUAACUACGUG
rnacentral:rRNA from 1 species